AAUACUGUUUGAUCCUGGCUCAGAUUGAACGCUGGCGGCAGGCCUAACACAUGCAAGUCGAACGGUAACAGGAAGCAGCUUGCUGCUUUGCUGACGAGUGGCGGACGGGUGAGUAAUGUCUGGGAAACUGCCCGAUGGAGGGGGAUAACUACUGGAAACGGUAGCUAAUACCGCAUAAUGUCGCAAGACCAAAGAGGGGGACCUUCGGGCCUCUUGCCAUCGGAUGUGCCCAGAUGGGAUUAGCUAGUUGGUGAGGUAACGGCUCACCAAGGCGACGAUCCCUAGCUGGUCUGAGAGGAUGACCAGCCACACUGGAACUGAGACACGGUCCAGACUCCUACGGGAGGCAGCAGUGGGGAAUAUUGCACAAUGGGCGCAAGCCUGAUGCAGCCAUGCCGCGUGUAUGAAGAAGGCCUUCGGGUUGUAAAGUACUUUCAGCGGGGAGGAAGGGGUUAAGGUUAAUAACCUUAGCCAUUGACGUUACCCGCAGAAGAAGCACCGGCUAACUCCGUGCCAGCAGCCGCGGUAAUACGGAGGGUGCAAGCGUUAAUCGGAAUUACUGGGCGUAAAGCGCACGCAGGCGGUCUGUCAAGUCGGAUGUGAAAUCCCCGGGCUCAACCUGGGAACUGCAUUCGAAAC
rnacentral:rRNA from 1 species